AUUGAACGCUGGCGGCAUGCUUUACACAUGCAAGUCGAACGGUAACAGGGAGCUUGCUCCGCUGACGAGUGGCGAACGGGUGAGUAAUGCAUCGGAACGUGCCGUGUAAUGGGGGAUAACGUAGCGAAAGUUACGCUAAUACCGCAUACGCCCUGAGGGGGAAAGUGGGGGACCGCAAGGCCUCACGUUAUACGAGCGGCCGAUGUCGGAUUAGCUAGUUGGUGGGGUAAAGGCCUACCAAGGCGACGAUCCGUAGCGGGUCUGAGAGGAUGAUCCGCCACACUGGGACUGAGACACGGCCCAGACUCCUACGGGAGGCAGCAGUGGGGAAUUUUGGACAAUGGGGGCAACCCUGAUCCAGCCAUGCCGCGUGAGUGAAGAAGGCCUUCGGGUUGUAAAGCUCUUUCAGGUGGAAAGAAAUCUUCCGGGUGAAUACCCCGGGAGGAUGACGGUACCAUCAGAAGAAGCACCGGCUAACUACGUGCCAGCCGCCGCAGUAAGAC
rnacentral:rRNA from 1 species